rnacentral:rRNA from 1 species
AGCAGCCGUGGUAAUUCCAGCUCCAAUAGCGUAUAUUAAAGUUGUUGCAGUUAAAAAGCUCGUAGUUGAAUUUCGGGAUUGGCGCAUCGGUCGUGCCUUACGGGGUAUGAACUGGUGCAGUCAAUUUCUCACCUUCUGGAGAACCGCGAUGUCCUUAAUUGGGUGCCGCGGGGAACCAGGACCUUUACUUUGAAAAAAUUAGAGUGUUUAAAGCAGGCAUUUUUGCUUGAAUACAUUAGCAUGGAAUAAUAAAAUAGGACGGCAUGGUUCUAUUUUGUUGGUUUCUAGGACCACCGUAAUGAUUAAUAGGGAUAGUUGGGGGCAUUAGUAUUCAAUUGUCAGAGGUGAAAUUCUUGGAUUUAUUGAAGACUAACUACUGCGAAAGCAUUUGCCAAGGAUGUUUUCAUUAAUCAAGAACGAAAGUUAGGGGAUCGAAGACGAUCAGAUACCGUCGUAGUCUUAACCAUAAACUAUGCCGACUAGGAAUCAGACGAUGUUAAUUUUUUAAUGACUCGUUUGG